UUUGUCCAACGGUAAGCGGAACGAAGUGAGCAUUAAGGAGUGGACGAACCCACUGUG
rnacentral:sRNA from 3 species